UGGGGAAUAUUGGGCAAUGGGCGAAAGCCUGACCCAGCAACGCCGCGUGAGGGAAGAAGGUUUUCGGAUCGUAAACCUCUGUCCUUAGUGAAGAGAAAGAGACGGUAGCUAAGGAGGAAGCCCCGGCUAACUACGUGCCAGCAGCCGCGGUAAUACGUAGGGGGCGAGCGUUGUCCGGACUGAUUGUGCGUAAAGGGCGCGUAGGCGGCCUGUUAAGUCCGGAGUGAAAUUCCUGCUUUCAAGGUAGGAAGUGCUUUGGAAACUGGCGGGCUGGAGUGCCGGAGAGGUUAGCGGAAUUCCCGGUGUAGCGGUGAAAUGCGUAGAGAUCGGGAGGAACACCAGUGGCGAAGGCGGCGAACUGGACUGUAACUGACGCUGAGGCGCGAAAGUGUGGGGAGCAAACA
rnacentral:rRNA from 1 species